ACGAACAGUUGGAAACGACUGCUAAUACCGCAUACGAUCUAAUCUCGGCAUCGAGGAUAGAUGAAAGGUGGCCUCUACAUGUAAGCUAUCACUGAAGGAGGGGAUUGCGUCUGAUUAGCUAGUUGGAGGGGUAACGGCCCACCAAGGCGAUGAUCAGUAGCCGGUCUGAGAGGAUGAACGGCCACAUUGGGACUGAGACACGGCCCAGACUCCUACGGGAGGCAGCAUG
rnacentral:rRNA from 1 species